rnacentral:rRNA from 1 species
UGCCCACUGAUUAAUAUUAAAGGGCUGCAGUAAUUUGACUGUACAAAGGUAGCAUAAUCAUUAGUCAUUUAAUUGAUGACUUGUAUGAAAGAUUGGAUGAAAUAUAAACUGUCUUUAAAAUAUAAUAUAGAAUUUAAUUUUUUAAUUAAAAAGUUAAAAUAAAUAAAAAAGACGAGAAGACCCUAUAGAGUUUUAUUAUAAAAUUAAUUAGUAUUAUUUGUAAAUGUUUAAUAAAAAUUUAAAUUAAUUUUAUAAUUUUAUUGGGGUGAUAGAAAAAUUAAGUAAACUUUUUUAUAUAGUUAACAUAGAUAAGUGAAUUUAUGAUCCAUAAUUAAUGAUUAUAAGAAAAAAUUACCUUAGGGAUAACAGCGUAAUUUUUUUUUUUAGUUCACAUAAAAAAAAAAGUUUGCGACCUCGAUGUUGGAUUAAGAUAAAAUUUAAAUGUAGAAGUUUAAUAGUUUUGA